AUGCGUUUUGUGCGGCGCAUCCAGGAGUCUGAGGUGAAGGAGGCUUUAAAAAGGAUGAAAGGAGGCAAGGCGAUGGGCCCUGAUUGUAUCCCCAUUGAGGUGUGGAAAGGUCUUGGGGACAUAGCGAUAGUAUGGCUAACCAAGCUUUUCAACCUCAUUUUUCUGGCAAACAAGAUGCCAAAAGAAUGGAGACGGAGUAUAUUAGUACCAAUCUUCAAGAACAAGGGGGAUGUUCAGAGUUGUACUAAUUACCGUGGAAUUAAGCUGAUGAGCCAUACAAUGAAGCUAUGGGAGAGAGUCAUUGAGCACCGCUUAAGAAGAAUGACAAGCGUGACCAAAAAUCAGUUUGGUUUCAUGCCUGGGAGGUCGACCAUGGAAGCCAUUUUCUUGGUACGACAACUUAUGGAGAGAUAUAGGGAGCAUAAGAAGGACUUGCAUAUGGUGUUCAUUGACUUGGAGAAGGCCUAUGAUAAGAUACCGCGGAAUGUCAUGUGGUGGGCCUUGGAGAAACACAAAGUCCUAGCAAAGUACAUUACCCUCAUCAAGGACAUGUACAAUAAUGUUGUGACAAGUGUUCGAACAAGUGAUGUCGACACCGAUGACUUCCCGAUUAAGAUAGGACUGCAUCAGGGGUCAGCUUUGAGCCCUUAUCUUUUUGCAUUGGUGAUGGAUGAGGUCACAAGGGGUAUACAAGGAGAUAUCCCAUGGUGUAUGCUCUUUGCGGAUGAUGUGGUGCUAGUUGACGAUAGUCGGACGGGGGUAAAUAGGAAGUUAGAGUUAUGGAGACAAACCUUAGAAUCGAAAGGGUUUAGGCUUAGUAGAACUAAAACCGAGUACAUGAUGUGCGGUUUCAGUACUACUAGCUGUGAGGAGGAGGAGGUUAGCCUUGAUGGCCAGGUGGUACCUCGGAAGGACACCUUUCGGUAUUUGGGGUCAAUGUUGCAGGAGGAUGGGGGUAUUGAUGAAGAUGUGAACCAUCGAAUCAAAGCCGGAUGGAUGAAGUGGCACCAAGCUUCUGGCAUUCUCUGUGACAAGAGAGUGCCACAAAAGCUAAAAGGCAAGUUCUACAGGACGGCGGUUCGACCUGCAAUGUUGUAUGGCGCGGAGUGUUGGCCGACUAAAAGGCGACAUGUUCAACAGUUAGGUGUGGCGGAGAUGCGUAUGUUGAGAUGGAUGUGUGGCCACAUGAGGAAGGAUCGAGUCCGGAAUGAUGAUAUACGAGAUAGAGUUGGGGUAGCACCAAUUGAGGAGAAGCUUGUCCAACAUCGUUUGAGAUGGUUUGGGCAUAUUCAGCGCAGGCCUCCAGAAGCUCCAGUGCAUAGCGGACGGCUAAAGCGUGCGGAGAAUGUCAAGAGAGGGCGGGGUCGACCGAUUUUGACAUGGGAGGAGUCCGUUAAGAGAGACCUGAAGGAUUGGAGUAUCGACAAAGAGCUAGCUAUGGACAGGGGUGCGUGGAAGCUUGCUAUCCAUGUGCCAGAGCCAUGA
rnacentral:rRNA from 1 species